AACGCAACUUGCACUCUGUUUCGGCAGAGUAUGCCUGUUUGAGAAUCUAUAUAUCAAUACAACGUUUUGUUGUGAUCUGAGCUCUGGUGACAACCUGGCUUUAAAUAUAUAGCUUCGGGCUUUGUAAAUGAUUACGUCCCGAACCAGAGAGAUGAAGGGGCAACCCACUUCCUUUGGGAACUGACUAGUUUACAGAGCUUUGAACUCACCUAUUAAGUACUCUUCGUACUGAAACCUAGGUCUCAAAUCAGGUAGGAGGACCCGCUGAACUUAA
rnacentral:misc_RNA from 1 species